AUUUAAUAAUAAUUGAUUUUAAUAUUGAUUUUGCCCGGCGCCAUCUAUUAAUCACUUACCUUACUAGCUCAGUUAUAAAGUGAAUUCUGCAUGAGAUCUCCUAUCUGUGGAGGUGUGAGAAAAGAUUUCUGAAAUAUCAACUAAACAAACGACACAAAAAUACAGCUAUAUGAAAUGGUUGAUAAAUAACAAAAGACAGUCGAAUAUUGUACACGAAUUUGGAAAUAUAUUGAAAAUAAAGGCUUUGUUAUGCAACAUCAAAAAUACAAGGUUAUCUAGUCGAAAGUCUGAAGGAAGAAAUACGAUGCAAUGAAUUUAACUAUAUAAAAAAAAUAAAAGUAUUUGACAAAAAAUUAAGUCGAAGAUAACCCAAAAUUAUCUUGAAUAUUCAAAAUUUGUUAUACUAAAGCUAGAAAAUGAAAAAAACAUUGACUUUAGAUCAUGAUCAAUUAAAAAUAUAAACUGUUCAGUACAACCUUUCACGAUGUAAUAUGAAGAUAAACCAAACUGCUAUGAAGUCUCUUCGGAUCCAAGAAGAAACCAACUCCUUCUAUUUCACUGGAACAAUGUUCUAAAUCUGGUAGAUACCCGCAUCACAAUACUUUUUCACUUUUCUUAUAAAGUUGAGGGUCAUUUUUGAAAAUUUUUUCUUCACCAUGAAGAUUAUUUAUACAGAUUAAUGUCUAUUUCAACAUAAUUUCACAAAUCUAUACAUGCAGCUAAAUGAUGCAAGACGUAUCACCUUAACGAAGUUCCUUUCGAAGUGACUUUUGGAAACAUGGAACCUUUUGAUGAUUCUUACGAACAAAUAAGGCUAUUGUAUGAUACAAAUAGAAGUAAUUCUCUGGUAAAACUCAAAAUUCAAAUUAUUAUAUAUUCUAUUUACUAAUUUCUAAUUUAUAUGUCAUUGAAAUAUCAUCUUUGAUAUAGGAUUACCUAUUUUGAUUUCUUAUGUAAUUCUACCUUUAUACACUUAAAUAAAACCAUCUUAUAACUA
rnacentral:lncRNA from 1 species